rnacentral:rRNA from 1 species
AUGAAAAUAUUAGCCUGGAACUGCCGGGUGCUUGGGAAUGCCCCAGCGGUUCGAGCUUUGCUGGACGUCCAGCGAAGAUGCAACCCCGAUGUGAUGUUCUUAUCGGAGACUCACCUAGACAGUUAUCCGGCUGAGUGCUUGAGAAAACGUCUGAAGAUGGACCAGAAGUUAGUUUGCCCAAGUGAUGGAAGAAGAGGAGGUUUACUGCUAUUUUGGAGAAAAGAAAUAAAAGUCGAGAGGAUGCUAAUGACGGGCUUUGGCGCUUGA